GUUAAACACUUGUCGUCAUGACAAGAACGCGCAGCAACGAAAACGGUUUGCCGAUGUUCAGGCGCACGUUGCUUUACGACGACCGCACUGAAGCUCGGUCUGCACAUCGAAAAAACAUGUCAUGAUGCAUCGACACUCAGCUUUUUCGAAAUCUGCAUCAGUUUUAACCUACGUUGAAACACAUGUUUCAACAUAUUCGAUUAUUUUCCAACUCCAGUAUUGUCGUCAUCAAUCGGACUAUCGCAGAUCAUAAAUUGAUCGAUAUGUCGAUUAUAAAAAAAUACAAAAUUAAAGAUUCUCCUCGAGAGGAAAUUUAUUUCCUACGAAAUCGUAUUCGGUAUCCUAAUUCCUAUAUCGAUAUGAGAUAAUUUCUAUACAAAUCCGCCGAUACAGAUCUACGUACACUGUAACGUGUCUGACGAAAGCUGCUUACCGAUGCAUGGUAAUAUGUUUCGACGCGUAAAAUUUCGUUUCACUGUUGGUAUCAACGCGCUAAUACGCGUCUAUGAAGCGACGCUUCGUGGAUAGCGGACCUUAGCUAUUCAAAUGUACAGCGUUACUGGAAUCUAGACAAAAUGCUACGAAAGGAGGGGUCGAUCGAACGAUUCCAUGGUAAUGGAUGGACUAAAGAUUCUACGAAAUUUGACGUGGAAGCGGAAAUGACCGUAAUCAAAGGGAAGAAAUGUGUGAUGUUGUUGCGAGAGUACCUGCAUGGGGCUGCUCUGAUUGUCAACCUUGUCGAUACCAUCGACAGGUUGUUGAGGACCUCCUAGAAGAGCGGUGAGCACCCUGAGUCCUACUGACAGUAAAUUUGCCCAAGGACUGGCUGGUGCUCCAUCGUCGAUCUCGUUUUUGCUUGGACCGGCUACACCGCCUGUUUGCCCUAAGAGCAUCUGCAUCAGCAUGCUCAGCAUGUUCGACCACGAAAACCCGGUCAUCGAGGGCGACCUUCUUCAUGGCGUUUGGCUUCUCCGCGAAUUUCCUCUCGUCCCUCACCUGCUGUUGGAACUGUUGCGGAUAUUGAGGAUGCUGUGGCAGUGAUGCUGCUUGUCCAAGAACAAGC